UUUAUAGAGAGUUUGAUCCUGGCUCAGGGUGAACGCUGGCGGCGCGCUUAAUGCAUGCAAGUCGAACGUGCCUUCGGGCAAGU
rnacentral:rRNA from 1 species